rnacentral:rRNA from 1 species
AUUGAACGCUGGCGGCAGGCUCAACACAUGCAAGUCGAGCGGGGUGAUGGUGCUUGCACUAUCACUUAGCGGCGGACGGGUGAGUGAUGCUUAGGAAUCUGCCUAUUAGUGGGGGACAACAUCUCGAAAGGGAUGCUAAUACCGCAUACGUCCUACGGGAGAAAGCAGGGGAUCACUUGUGACCUUGCGCUAAUAGAUGAGCCUAAGUCGGAUUAGCUAGUUGGUGGGGUAAAGGCCUACCAAGGCGACGAUCUGUAGCGGGUCUGAGAGGAUGAUCCGCCACACUGGGACUGAGACACGGGCCAGACUCCUACGGGAGGCAGCAGUGGGGAAUAUUGGACAAUGGGGGGAACCCUGAUCCAGCCAUGCCGCGUGUGUGAAGAAGGCCUUAUGGUUGUAAAGCACUUUAAGCGAGGAGGAGGCUCUUUUGGUUAAUACCCAAGAUGAGUGGACGUUACUCGCAGAAUAAGCACCGGCUAACUCUGUGCCAGCCGCCGCUGUAA